rnacentral:rRNA from 1 species
UGGAGGAAAGCAGGGGAUCGUAAGACCUUGCGCUUUUGGAGUGGCCGAUGCCUGAUUAGCUAGUUGGUGGGGUAAGAGCCUACCAAGGCGACGAUCAGUAGUUGGUCUGAGAGGACGACCAGCCACACUGGGACUGAGACACGGCCCAGACUCCUACGGGAGGCAGCAGUGGGGAAUUUUGGACAAUGGGCGAAAGCCUGAUCCAGCAAUGCCGCGUGAGUGAAGAAGGCCUUCGGGUUGUAAAGCUCUUUCAGUCGAGAAGAAAAGGUUGCGACUAAUAAUCGCAGCUUAUGACGGUAUCGACAGAAGAAGCACCGGCUAACUACGUGCCAGCAGCCGCGGUAAUACGUAGGGUGCGAGCGUUAAUCGGAAUUACUGGGCGUAAAGGGUGCGCAGGCGGCUCUGUAAGUCAGAUGUGA